rnacentral:rRNA from 1 species
CCUACGGGUGGCAGCAGUGGGGAAUAUUGCACAAUGGGGGAAACCCUGAUGCAGCGACGCCGCGUGAGGGAAGAAGUAAUUCGGUAUGUAAAGCUCUGUCAGCAGGGAAGAAAAUGACGGUACCUGAGUAAGAAGCCCCGGCUAACUACGGGCCAGCAGCCGCGGUAAUACGUAGGGGGCAAGCGUUAUCCGGAUUUACUGGGUGUAAAGGGAGCGUAGACGGCAGUGCAAGUCUGGAGUGAAAGGCGGGGGCUCAACCCCCGGACUGCUCUGGAAACUGUACGGCUGGAGUGCAGGAGAGGUAAGUGGAAUUCCUGGUGUAGCGGUGAAAUGCGUAGAUAUUAGGCGGAACACCAGUGGCGAAGGCGGCUUACUGGACUGUAACUGACGUUGAGGCUCGAAAGCGUGGGGAGCAAACAGGAUUAGAUACCCGAGUAGUC